CCCUUCGCAGAGCGGAGGGAGCCGGAGCGAAACAGGGUGCGGGCGGCGCCGGAGGCGGGGGGUGCAGUCCUCAGGGUCAGCGGGAGCCGGCCAGAGGUAGCUACGUGUCUCCCGCAAAGGGACCGGCUCCAAGGACCUCCGAGCCCCUCGCGCUCCCGCAGGCGAACGAGAUUCAGAACGGGGUUCUCAGCGAGAGUCCAUUCUGGCCAGCCCCGCCUUCCUCCCGGAUAGAGCUCUCCUUUAUGGCUUCACAAAACUUCAAGCUUUGGGGAGUGGCAUACGGAGAGCAGCUCAAGCGCUAACGUGGAUAUUGGAGGACAAAAACGGAUGAGAAGGUGGUGAAGACGAGUGAGCGCCUGACAGAAAAAAGCACAGCUUCCGUGAUCUAAUCAUCCUGGGCCCCGGGCUGCUGACCAGUGGAAGCAAGAACUAGGACAAAUGACUCGGCGUGAGGCACAUUCUCUCCGAUGCACAGACACUGAGUAGGUGUCCU
rnacentral:lncRNA from 1 species